rnacentral:rRNA from 1 species
AGAGUUUGAUCAUGGCUCAGGAUGAACGCUGGCGGCGUGCCUAACACAUGCAAGUCGAGCGAUUCUCUUCGGAGAAGAGCGGCGGACGGGUGAGUAACGCGUGGGUAACCUGCCCUGUACACACGGAUAACGUACCGAAAGGUAUGCUAAUACGAGAUAAUAUGCUUUUAUCGCAUGGUAGAAGUAUCAAAGCUUUUGCGGUACAGGAUGGACCCGCGUCUGAUUAGCUAGUUGGUAAGGUAACGGCUUACCAAGGCGACGAUCAGUAGCCGACCUGAGAGGGUGAUCGGCCACAUUGGAACUGAGACACGGUCCAAACUCCUACGGGAGGCAGCAGUGGGGAAUAUUGCACAAUGGGCGAAAGCCUGAUGCAGCAACGCCGCGUGAGCGAUGAAGGCCUUCGGGUCGUAAAGCUCUGUCCUCAAGGAAGAUAAUGACGGUACUUGAGGAGGAAGCCCCGGCUAACUACGUG